rnacentral:ncRNA from 1 species
AAAAUACUGCCACCGGGUAGUGAAUGCCAAGCAUUCGAUUAUACAUCGUUAGGUCUUAGAAGAUGUAUGGUCGGAUGCUUGUUUUUU